rnacentral:rRNA from 1 species
CAGCCGUAAACUAUGCUCGCUAGGUGUCAGGCAUGGCGCGACCGUGUCUGGUGCCGCAGGGAAGCCGUGAAGCGAGCCACCUGGGAAGUACGGCCGCGAGGCUGAAACUUAAAGGAAUUGGCGGGGGAGCACAACAACGGGUGGAGCCUGCGGUUUAAUUGGAUUCAACACCGUAAAACUCACCAGGGAAGACUGUUACAUGAAGGCCGAGAUGAAGACUCUGCUAGAUUUUCAGAGAGGUGGUGCAUGGCGUCAGUGACU